rnacentral:rRNA from 1 species
UACGAAGGGGGCUAGCGUUGCUCGGAAUCACUGGGCGUAAAGGGUGCGUAGGCGGGUCUUUAAGUCAGGGGUGAAAUCCUGGAGGUCAACUCCAGAACUGCCUUUGAUACUGAAGAUCUUGAGUUCGGGAGAGGUGAGUGGAACUGCGAGUGUAGAGGUGAAAUUCGUAGAUAUUCGCAAGAACACCAGUGGCGAAGGCGGCUCACUGGCCCGAUACUGACGCUGAGGCGCGAAAGCGUGGGGAGCAAACAGG